rnacentral:rRNA from 1 species
GGAAUAUUGGACAAUGGGGGCAACCCUGAUCCAGCGACGCCGCGUGGGUGAAGAAGGCCUGCGGGUUGUAAAGCCCUUUCGGUUGGGAAGAAAAGCUGCGACCUAACACGUCGCGGCCUUGACGUAACCAACUAAAGAAGCACCGGCUAACUCUGUGCCAGCAGCCGCGGUAAUACAGAGGGUGCGAGCGUUAAUCGGAAUUACUGGGCGUAAAGCGCGCGUAGGCGGCUUUGCAAGCCGGAUGUGAAAUCCCCGGGCUUAACCUGGGAACUGCAUUCGGGACUGCAUUGCUAGAGUAUGGGAGAGGGAAGUGGAAUUUCAGGUGUAGCGGUGAAAUGCGUAGAUAUCUGAAGGAACAUCAGUGGCGAAAGCGACUUCCUGGACCAAUACUGACGCUCAUGUGCGAAAGCGUGGGGAGCACCCACAGGAUUAGAUACCCUGGUAGUCCACGCCAUAAACGAUGAGAACUGGAUGUCGGAGGGGUCUGCCCUUUGGUGUCGUAGCUAACGCGUUAAGUUCUCCGCCUGGGGAGUACGGCCGCCAAGGUUGAAACUCAAAGGAAUUG